rnacentral:lncRNA from 1 species
GUGGAUUCUGGGCUGGCAUGCUGUGCAUCGGGUAGGCUGUGAGCCCCUGCGUGGCCAGGCGUGGGAAUCAUGGCACUGCAGGAAGAUGCAUCUCCUGCAGACUCGAGGUCUGUGAGCUUGGGGAAGAGAUAGUUAAAGCUUCCCGUGUGAGCGAGUUAUAGCACGCAGCGCCAGUGCCAGGUCAGCAGUCUGCGUGGAGCUUGGACAUGGCUGGUGGCGCCAGGCGGUGCCAAGCUCCCGUAGCAGCGUUUCUGAGGAUUCCUGAUGCAGUCUCCGGGCUGCAGCCUGGGCAAUGCUUUGACCGCCGUACAGAAGGGAACUACACACUGCCAGGAGCUUCCCAGACAAACCAGGCUGCAAAUACAGCACCCAUGGCUGGGACCUGGCUGCUGCCAGGACAAAGGAGCCCUGUGCAGAAAACAAAAGGUGGAGCAGAAUCUGGUCUGGUGGCUGGGAAAAGUAAACAAACAGACAAGACAAAGCUGCGAAGAAAGAUCUGGCUUUUCAAAUGGCACCGGAGAGCUUGGGAACUCGAGGCACCGACACUACAUUACCCAACUUCCCAGGGGGGCCUAUGA